GUGCGUAUAAUUUAAAAAAAUACUAGAUUGUGGUUCUAAAAAUGAAAGUUAAACUCUUUCUAUGCACC
rnacentral:tRNA from 1 species